AUCUGAACGGCUCUGUAAGCCUCGACAUGCCGGUCGAGGUACAUAAACAGAGGGUUCUGAAGUACUCUCAGGCUCUUGUGGGAUGCUCCGGACAGGCUGCAGCAUAUGGGAAAUGUGUUGCCAUCAAGGCCAACCUUAAGAAAGGAGAUUGUGAAAAGGAAUUUCUGUUACUCAAAGAAUGUAUGCAGGCUGGUAUGAAGAAAAUUAAAUAAUGGUAACCAUGGAGGAAGGAUAAUUUAUGAAGCAGUGUUGAGUUCAUCACCAUGGAGGAAGGAUGAUUUAUGAAGCGAUGUUGAGUUCAUCACCAUGGAGAAGGGUAAUUUAUGAAGCAGUGUUGACUUCAUCACCAUGGAGGAAGGAUAAUUUAUGAAGCAGUGCUGAGUUCAUCACCAUGGAGGAAGGAUAAUUUAUGAAGCAGUGUUGAGUUCAUCACCAUGGAGGAAGGAUAAUUUAUGAAGCAGCGUUGAGUUCAUCACCAUGGAGGAAGGAUAAUUUAUGAAGCGGUGCUGAGUUCAGACUAUCGAAGUGUUUUUUUUUCAAAACUUGUAUAAACUUUAGAUCACACCUGUGUUGAACACCAAGCAGAUUCAAUAUCUAAUAGUGUUGAGUUCACCGAUUAUUUUGCAUAUACAUGUACAUAAAAUGUAAAUAUUGAAAAUAUAAGAUUAAAACGAAAA